GUUGACCUCGGAUCAGGUGGGGAUACCCGCUGAACUUAAGCAUAUCAAUAAGCGGAGGAAAAGAAACCAACAGGGAUUGCCCUAGUAACGGCGAGUGAAGCGGCAACA
rnacentral:rRNA from 1 species